AUUGAACGCUGGCGGCAGGCUUAACACAUGCAAGUCGAACGAUGACUCUCUAGCUUGCUAGAGAAGAUUAGUGGCGGACGGGUGAGUAACAUUUAGGAAUCUGCCUAGUAGUGGGGGAUAGCUCGGGGAAACUCGAAUUAAUACCGCAUACGACCUACGGGUGAAAGGGGGCGCAAGCUCUUGCUAUUAGAUGAGCCUAAAUCAGAUUAGCUAGUUGGUGGGGUAAAGGCCUACCAAGGCGACGGUCUGUAACUGGUCUGAGAGGAUGAUCAGUCACACCGGAACUGAGACACGGUCCGGACUCCUACGGGAGGCAGCAGUGGGGAAUAUUGGACAAUGGGGGCAACCCUGAUCCAGCCAUGCCGCGUGUGUGAAGAAGGCCUUUUGGUUGUAAAGCACUUUAAGCAGGGAGGAGAGGCUAAUGGUUAAUACCCAUUAGAUUAGACGUUACCUGCAGAAUAAGCACCGGCUAACUCUGUGCCAGCAGCCGCGGUAAUACAGAGGGUGCGAGCGUUAAUCGGAAUUACUGGGCGUAAAGCGAGUGUAGGUGGCUCAUUAAGUCACAUGUGAAAUCCCCGGGCUUAACCUGGGAACUGCAUGUGAUACUGGUGGUGCUAGAAUAUGUGAGAGGGAAGUAGAAUUCCAGGUGUAGCGGUGAAAUGCGUAGAGAUCUGGAGGAAUACCGAUGGCGAAGGCAGCUUCCUGGCAUAAUAUUGACACUGAGAUUCGAAAGCGUGGGUAGCAGACAGGAUUAGAUACCCUGGUAGUCCACGCCGUAAACGAUGUCUACUAGCCGUUGGGGUCCUUGAGACUUUAGUGGCGCAGUUAACGCGAUAAGUAGACCGCCUGGGGAGUACGGCCGCAAGGUUAAAACUCAAAUGAAUUGACGGGGGCCCGCACAAGCGGUGGAGCAUGUGGUUUAAUUCGAUGCAACGCGAAGAACCUUACCUGGUCUUGACAUAGUGAGAAUCUUUCAGAGAUGAGAGAGUGCCUUUGGGAACUCACAUACAGGUGCUGCAUGGCUGUCGUCAGCUCGUGUCGUGAGAUGUUGGGUUAAGUCCCGCAACGAGCGCAACCCUUUUCCUUAUUUGCCAGCGGGUUAAGCCGGGAACUUUAAGGAUACUGCCAGUGACAAACUGGAGGAAGGCGGGGACGACGUCAAGUCAUCAUGGCCCUUACGACCAGGGCUACACACGUGCUACAAUGGUAGGUACAGAGGGUUGCUACACAGCGAUGUGAUGCUAAUCUCAAAAAGCCUAUCGUAGUCCGGAUUGGAGUCUGCAACUCGACUCCAUGAAGUCGGAAUCGCUAGUAAUCGCAGAUCAGAAUGCUGCGGUGAAUACGUUCCCGGGCCU
rnacentral:rRNA from 1 species